GGUGCGAAGAGCACUUUCCUGUGACGGUACCACCGAAGGAAGCACCGUCCAUAUUCCGUGCCAGCAGCCGCGGUAAGACAGAAGGUGCAAGCUUUGCUCAGAUUCUCUGGGCGUAAAGGGUGCAUACGCGGCUUCGUGAGUCGGCUGUGAAAGCUGCGGUCUCAGCCUGAGAAGGGCGGUCGAUACUGCGCAUCUGGAGUGCCAGAGGGAGAGAGUGGAAUUCCUGGUGUAGCGGAGAUAUGCGUAGAUAUUAAGAAGAAUACCGGUGGAGAGAGCGACUCUCUGGACUGCUACUGACUCAGAGGCACAAAAGCGUGGAGAGCAAACGAGAUUAUAUACUGUGGUAGUACACGCCGUAAAUGAGUGCACUAGGUGUCGGGGGUAUCCACUC
rnacentral:rRNA from 1 species